GAUGAACGCUGGCGGCGUGCCUAAUACAUGCAAGUCGAGCGAACAGACGAGGAGCUUGCUCCUCUGACGUUAGCGGCGGGCGGGUGAGUAACACGUGGAUAACCUACCUAUAAGACUGGGAUAACUUCGGGAAACCGGAGCUAAUACCGGAUAAUAUAUUGAACCGCAUGGUUCAAUAGUGAAAGACGGUUUUGCUGUCACUUAUAGAUGGAUCCGCGCCGCAUUAGCUAGUUGGUAAGGUAACGGCUUACCAAGGCAACGAUGCGUAGCCGACCUGAGAGGGUGAUCGGCCACACUGGAACUGAGACACGGUCCAGACUCCUACGGGAGGCAGCAGUAGGGAAUCUUCCGCAAUGGGCGAAAGCCUGACGGAGCAACGCCGCGUGAGUGAUGAAGGUCUUCGGAUCGUAAAACGCUGUUAUUAGGGAAGAACAAAUGUGUAAGUAACUAUGCACGUCUUGACGGUACCUAAUCAGAAAGCCACGGCUAACUACGU
rnacentral:rRNA from 1 species